rfam:Schistosoma mansoni strain Puerto Rico chromosome 5, complete genome
AUCCAGCUGACGAGUCCCAGAUAGGACGAAACGCGCAUUGUCCUUAAU